rnacentral:misc_RNA from 1 species
UUGAAUUUUGUGAGGGGUUGUAGCUGGCCCGGGAGGGCAUGUGCACACCCCGAUCAUCCUCCACACCUGUGCACUUUCUGUAGAGAUCGGUUGCGGCGUCGAGCCGCUUCCGUUUUCUAUGUCUUUCACAAACGCCUCAGUUGUAGAAUGUCUCUUGCUAUAAACGCAUAAAUA